rnacentral:rRNA from 1 species
GCCUCAGUAACGGCGAGUGAAGCGGCAAAAGCUCAAAUUUGAAAUCUGGCUCUUUCAGGGUCCGAGUUGUAAUUUGUAGAAGAUGCUUCGGGUGUGGUUCCGGUCUAAGUUCCUUGGAACAGGACGUCAUAGAGGGUGAGAAUCCCGUAUGUGACCGGAUACCUAUGCUCAUGUGAAGCUCUUUCGACGAGUCGAGUUGUUUGGGAAUGCAGCUCAAAAUGGGUGGUAUAUUUCAUCUAAAGCUAAAUAUUGGCCAGAGACCGAUAGCGCACAAGUAGAGUGAUCGAAAGAUGAAAAGCACUUUGGAAAGAGAGUUAAACAGUACGUGAAAUUGUUGAAAGGGAAGCGCUUGCAAUCAGACUUGCACCUGGUGUUCAGCGGGGAUUCGUUCCCCGUGUACUUCAUCAGGUUCAGGCCAGCAUCGGUUUGAGUGGUUGGAUAAAGGCCUUGAGAAUGUGGCCCUCUUCGGGGGGUGUUAUAGCUCUCGGUGCAAUGCAGCCUACUUGGACCGAGGACCGCGCUUCGGCUAGGAUGCUGGCGUAAUGGUUGUAAGCGACCCGUCUUGAAACACGGACCAAGGAGUCUAAUAUUUAUGCGAGUGUUUGGGUGUUAAACCCAUACGCGUAAUGAAAGUGAACGGAGGUGAGAACCCUUUAGGGUGCAUCAUCGACCGAUCCUGAUGUCUUCGGAUGGAUUUGAGUAAGAGCAUAAAUAUUGGGACCCGAAAGAUGGUGAUCUAAACGUGAAUAGGGUGAAGCCAGAGGAAACUCUGGUGGAGGCUCGCAGCGGUUCUGACGUGCAAAUCGAUCGUCAAAUUUGCGUUUAGGGGCGAAAGACUAAUCGAACCAU